UCGACGGCAGCACGGGUGCUUGCACCUGGUGGCGAGUGGCGAACGGGUGAGUAAUGCACCGGAACGUACCCAGUAAUGGGGGAUAACACAUCGAAAGAUGUGCUAAUACCGCAUACGCCCUGAGGGGGAAAGCGGGGGAUCGCAAGACCUCGCGUUAUUGGAGCGGCCGAUGCCGGAUUAGCUAGUUGGUGGGGUAAAGGCCUACCAAGGCGACGAUCCGUAGCUGGUCUGAGAGGACGACCAGCCACACUGGGACUGAGACACGGCCCAGACUCCUACGGGAGGCAGCAGUGGGGAAUUUUGGACAAUGGGCGCAAGCCUGAUCCAGCCAUGCCGCGUGAGUGAAGAAGGCCUUCGGGUUGUAAAGCUCUUUCGCAAGGAAAGAAAACUUACCUUCUAAUAAAGGGUGAGGUUGACGGUACCUUGAUAAGAAGCACCGGCUAACUACGUGCCAGCAGCCGCGGUAAUACGUAGGGUGCGAGCGUUAAUCGGAAUUACUGGGCGUAAAGCGUGCGCAGGCGGUUCGACAAGUCUGAUGUGAAAUCCCCGGGCUCAACCUGGGAACUGCGUUGGAAACUGUCGGGCUAGAGUGUAGAAGAGGGGGGUAGAAUUCCACGUGUAGCAGUGAAAUGCGUAGAGAUGUGGAGGAAUACCGAUGGCGAAGGCAGCCCCCUGGGCUAACACUGACGCUCAUGCACGAAAGC
rnacentral:rRNA from 1 species